CGUCUAUAUACGUAUAGCAUAUCAAUAAGCGGAGGAAAAGAAACUAACUAGGAUUCCCUCAGUAACGGCGAGUGAAGCGGGAAGAGCUCAAAUUUGAAAUCUUCAAGGUUCUACCUUGACGAAUUGUAGUUUAAAGAAGUGUUUUCUGUUGGAGUUUUGGUAAAAGUUCUUUGGAAAUAGGACAUCAAUAGAGGGUGAGAAUCCCGUAUUUGACCAUUAUUUCCAGCUUUGUGAUACACUUUCAAAGAGUCGGAUUGUUUGGGAAUGCAGUCCAAAAUGGGUGGUAAAUUUCAUCUAAAGCUAAAUACUGGCGAGAGACCGAUAGCGAACAAGUACCGUGAGGGAAAGAUGAAAAGAACUUUGAAAAGAGAGUUAAACAGUACGUGAAAUUGUCAAAAGGGAAGCGUUUGACACCAGUGUUGUUUUCUCGAAAAUCAAUUAAAAAUGGCAGGAUUUUGUGUUGUAUUGACUUUAUCAGCUUUCUGCACUUUUUUCCUAUCUUUUUUAAUGCACUUUUCGUUUAACAAGUCAACAUCAAUUUCUUUUGUUGUAAAAGAGUCAUUGGAAGGUGGCUUUCUUUUCGGAGAAAGUGUUUAUAGCCUUUGACUUCUGCAGUCGGAGAGAUUGAGGUCUGCAGCGUAGAUCCUUCGGGGUUAGAUACAUUUGUGCUAAGUUAUAGCCUUUCAUAGACAACUUGUUGACUAUGAUCAGUCAUGUAGCUUACUCGCUUAUGUUAUUUUACCUACGCUUAGGAUGUUGACGAUCAGCUGAGCGCG
rnacentral:rRNA from 1 species